CUGAGAACAAUGACACGAGUGCGCGUGCAUGAGACGACUCCAUGUUUUUCUUUCAGUGUUUGAAUGAAUACAACGUCGGCCGGUUGGAAUAUUAUCGCUAUUUUACGAGAAAAAUAGCAUAACAUUUGAUUUUAAACAGCGUUUGACAUGCUUCGAAGUACGGUAAUGGAAUAUUUUGAAUUUUUUUGUCACGAAAUGCGCCGGCGCGUCACCCUUCGGAUAGUGACUUGAACACACGAACAAAACGGAGCUAUUUGGAUAUAACGAUGGAUUAUUUGGAACCAAAACAACAUUUGUUGUUGAAUUAGAAGUCCUGGGAGAGCAUUCUGACGAAGAACAGCAAAGGGCUUCCGAGUGGCGCAGCGAUCUAAGGCACUGCAUCUCAGUGCAAGAGGCGUCACUACAGUCUCUGAUUCGAAUCCAGGCUGAAUCACAUCCGGCCGUGAUCGGGAGUCCCACAGGGUGGCGCACAAUUGGCCCCGCGUCGUUCGGGUUUGGCCUGGGUAGGCCGUCAUUGUCCAUAGAGGCGGAGGGUAUGGCUCUGAC
rnacentral:lncRNA from 1 species